GAGUUACCAAACCUUAUCUCCAUUUUGAAAUCCCCAGACCUAAAGAAAACCAAACACGCACGUCAUCUUCUCCAUCUAUUCUCUGCUUUUCUUUGGAGAAACCCUAGAAAACCACUCAAACGCAUUACGCAUCUACAGACCCUGUAAUCUCUCCCUCUUUUUCUACCAUAAACAUCGAUCGGAACCGGGUUUGGCCGGAGCUCUGGCGACCUGUGUUUGCCGGCGAUGUCACACCACACACAAACCCCCCUCGUUUUCUUCGGUCAAAAAGACACCACCACCCGACGGUGGCGGUGAGCGGCGGUUGCGGAGAAAGAGAGAAUAGAUUGAGAGACAAGCAGACCAGAGAAGGAAGAGGGCUGCGACGGCAGUUGUGUCGCUCCGACGAGACUCAUCGGCGACCGCAGUUUUGCCGAUGAUAGUGAAGAUCUGUUGAUGAUGGUGCUGUCGGACGUAGCUGGGCGGAAAAACGAAGCCACUGGCGGCAGCCGGCAACGGUAAUGGUGGUGAUUUUAUAUUCAGUUGUUUUGAUUUUUGGCUCAGGUUUCGUUAUUCCAGUUUGGGUUCACGUCAGCAGGUUCCGGGUCAGAUUCAACAAGUUCGGGUUCGGUCAAAGCAGGUUAAAACUGGUCAAACACCAGUUUCAAGUGCUUCGGGUUAACUUUUGUUCAAACUUAGUACACAAUUCAGAUUAGCCGUUCGGGUUUUUACGGAUCAAGUCUCGGGUUUGGUCAGCAGGUCAACCGGUCAAACCCGGUCGAACCGAGUCGACUCGGUCAACACCCUAGUCAACUCGGGUCAACAACAGGUCAAGCAUGGUCAACAGUCAACAGUUCAGUUUCGGGUCAACCACAGUUCGGUUCAUGGUUCGGUUCUGAUUUGAGGAGAUUCGGGACAAAUCUGGUACGGAUUUCAGGUUCGGGACUGUUACGGUUCUGGUCAACGUUAGUCAAACGUCAUGUUCGGGUCAACAGGUCAAUGCCCGGUCAACACGAAGGACCCGGAAUACUAUAGUUGCACGCUAGCUAAGUCACGUCCUUGGAACGACGCUUCGGAAUCACGCUAGGCUAGCUUUGCACAGGAAUAUCCAGGUUGCAUUUUCAAAACUAUGGAACGGUUGGAAUAGGAGAACCCAUGGGAAUUCGAAUACUUAGCGGCGUUCAUUUUCUAGAAGUCUUAGCUUAUUUGUUUCCGCUGUGCAAUGAAGAUACCGGUCCAGUCACGCCAGCUCUGAUAAUUUCGGGGUGUGACAUUAAAGAUGGGGAAGUUUGUCGUUUGAAAAAAUCUCUAUGCGGGCUAAAACAGUCACCUCAGGCCUGGUUUGGAAAGUUCACCUCGGCCAUGAAAGAAUACGGGUAUUACCAAAGUAACGCUGAUCAUACCCUAUUCCUUAAAAGAAGAAACGACCUCGUAACUUGCCUGAUCAUAUAUGUAGACGACAUGAUUAUCACCAGAAAUGACGUGGAAGAGAUAGCACGACUGGAAAAGAAUUUGUUUUCAAAGUUUGAAAUGAAAGACCUUGGGAAUCUCAAGUAUUUCCUCGGAAUAGAAGUUCUCGGGUCUAAACGGGGGAUUUUCAUCUGCCAAAAGAAGUAUGUCCUUGACCUCCUAGUGGAAACUGGUUUGAUUGAUUGUAAACUCGCAGAUACGCCAAUGGUGGUGAACCACAAUCUUCACAUGGAACUUAAUGGCGAGCUUGCAGACAAAGAAAGGUAUCAACGGCUCGUGGGCAAGUUAAUUUAUCUCUCUCACACUCGCCCUGAUAUAGCUUAUGCUGUUGGAGUGGUAAGUCAGUUUAUGCACCAACCGCAAGUUGAUCACAUGGAAGCUUCUCAGAGAAUUCUAAGGUAUCUAAAGGGAACCGCAGACCAUGGAGUGUUGUUCAAAGCAAAUGGACAUUUAAAUGUUGAGCUCUACACUGACGCCGAAUAGGCAGGAGAUAAGGGAAAUCGAAGGUCAACAUCAGGGUACUUCUCCUUGGUUGGUGGAAACCUUGUUACCUGGAGGAGUAAGAAACAGAAGGUGGUCGCUCUGUCGAGUGUAGAAGUAGAGUUCAGAGGCGUAACUCGAGGGUUAAGCGAAGUUCUUUGGAUCAGGAAACUUCUAGAAGACAUUGGUUUCUUCCAAAGGGCAGAACCUAGUAAAAUUAUGUGCGACAAUACAACUGCAAUACAAAUCUCAGAAAAUCCAGUUCAGCAUGAUCGAACAAAACACGUGGAGGUAGAUCGACAUUGCAUCAAGGAAAAACUGGAGGAAAGGAUCAUAGAUCUCCCGUAUAUAUCAUCAAAAGAUCAACUCGCAAAUAUUCUCACAAAAGCAAUCAACGGAAACGCUUUCAGUAGCUGUUUGAGCAAGUUAAGUAUUGGAGAUCCCACUACUCAACUUGAGGGGGAGUGUCGGAAAGAAGCAAACAAAUAGUAUAGGGGCUAGUGUGUAAUAUGGUGGUCUAUAUAAACACCAUCUUUGUGUAAUAGGAUUGUACAAUACAAUUUUUCAAUACAAUUCAAACCCAAAUAUGAGAUUAUUCUAUAUACCAAA